rnacentral:rRNA from 1 species
AGGGAUGCGCGCUACCUGCAGUCGAGCGGAUGAGAGGAGCUUGCUCUUCGAUUCAGCGGCGGACGGGUGAGUAAUGCCUAGGAAUCUGCCUAGUAGUGGGGGACAACGUUUCGAAAGGAACGCUAAUACCGCAUACGUCCUACGGGAGAAAGUGGGGGAUCUUCGGACCUCACGCUAUUAGAUGAGCCUAGGUCGGAUUAGCUAGUUGGUAGGGUAAAGGCCUACCAAGGCGACGAUCCGUAACUGGUCUGAGAGGAUGAUCAGUCACACUGGAACUGAGACACGGUCCAGACUCCUACGGGAGGCAGCAGUGGGGAAUAUUGGACAAUGGGCGAAAGCCUGAUCCAGCCAUGCCGCGUGUGUGAAGAAGGCCUUCGGGUCGUAAAGCACUUUAAGUUGGGAGGAAGGGCUCAUAGCGAAUACCUGUGAGUUUUGACGUUACCAACAGAAUAAGCACCGGCUAACUUCGUGCCAGCAGCCGCGGUAAUACGAAGGGUGCAAGCGUUAAUCGGAAUUACUGGGCGUAAAGCGCGCGUAGGUGGCUUGAUAAGUUGGAUGUGAAAUCCCCGGGCUCAACCUGGGAACUGCAUCCAAAACUGUCUGGCUAGAGUGCGGUAGAGGGUAGUGGAAUUUCCAGUGUAGCGGUGAAAUGCGUAGAUAUUGGAAGGAACACCAGUGGCGAAGGCGACUACCUGGACUGACACUGACACUGAGGUGCGAAAGCGUGGGGAGCAAACAGGAUUAGAUACCCUGGUAGUCCACGCCGUAAACGAUGUCAACUAGCCGUUGGGAUCCUUGAGAUCUUAGUGGCGCAGCUAACGCAUUAAGUUGACCGCCUGGGGAGUACGGCCGCAAGGUUAAAACUCAAAUGAAUUGACGGGGGCCCGCACAAGCGGUGGAGCAUGUGGUUAAUUCGAAGCAACGCGAAGAACCUUACCUGGCCUUGACAUGCUGAGAACUUUCCAAAGAUGGAUUGGUGCCUUCGGGAACUCAGACCAGGGGCUGCUGGCUGC